UCACAUCAUCCACAGACCUAAAACAUCAACCCCUUUCUCUUUUUUCUCCCUCAUAUCUAUCUCUAGAAAACGCCGGCCACCACCUUGGUGGCGGAGCCACGGUGGCAACACCAACUACCACCACCACCAAAAACCUCUAGCACCCACCUCCCACCACCUGCAACCCCACCUCCUUUGGUCCACCCUCCUUCCAUCUCACAUCCCGUCUCCCCUCCAAAUUUCCCAACCUUCAACCUGAAGAUCCCCUUCCAUAUUCCCAGGAUCUAACAAUAACAGUUUCCUCCAUGAAUAAGCGAUGCUCUAUUGAUGACCUUUGAAGAUUCCGGGAAGGAAAGCUAGUGCGGAUACGUUCGCAAGGAUCAGCUUUUCUUGGAUCAGCCUUUGAAUUACAAGUCUUGAUGUGUUGGACGAUUGUUUCUGGUGGUGAAUAGUUUCAACAACUGUUGGCCCUAACCCAUCAGGGGUGUGGUAAUUGUUUAACAACAAAUGUUAUUCUAAUGGUGGUGGAUGGAUGGAUGGUUUCAAAUGAACAACAAAUGUUAUUCUGAUGGCGGUGGUUGAUGGUUUCAAAUGUUGGCAUCUCGUUGUGGCGGUGGUGGCACCAUGGUGGCUCUAAGCAAAGGGUGAAAGGGCUGAAGAUAUAUAUUAAUGUUUUUUAUUUUUUAUAAUUUAAAUAGAUUGGGAUAAAAGACAUAAAUGCCCUCAUGUGCAAGGCACAUGCUAACUUUAACUAAAAUUUUUAAUCAAGUUAGUGCUAAAGGACGUAGUGUGUAAUAGGUUUUCGAAAUAAAGGACUGUGACUGUAAUUAUUGAAGUUAAA